UUAACUAUAAUUUGUCUAUGCUCAUAUCCCAUUUAUUUACCCGAAAAUUCAUUUCCCUCCUCCCAAAAUCAAUCUAAAUUCUCAUUUCCCUACCCAAAAAUUCAUUUCCCUCCUACCGAAAUCAAUAUGAAUUUUUAUUUCCCUCCUACAAGAUUCAUUUCCCCCAAUCAAUUCAAAUGAAAGACCCAAGCUUCCUUUUACAUACUCAACCUUUAAACCGCAACCCUAAUCCCUAACAAUCAAGGAUGACGAUGGUGGUUAUGACAGUGGUUCUGGUUGUAAUGUUACAGCGACUAAUGUUUAGAUCGAAGGUGAUGGUGUCGUGAAGGAGGGUGUGCGGGAGAGGUGGUUGUUGACGGUGGGUAGGAGCUGUGGAGGUUUUCGUCAACUUCCUCUAUUCCAUUCGGCAGAUUGGUAUUUUUCUACAUGUUUCAGCCCUAAUCAUUUAGAGAAGCCAUGGUGAAUAGGCAUCCUACCAACGAGACAAAGAAGCAAAAAGGUAGAAAAUAUGGAGAAGCGUAUGCAGACCGAGUGUAAGGAGUUUAAUGAUGCAAUUAUUAAGGAGAAAAAUGGAUUCGCCUUCGCCUGAGACAACGGGCUUAUGCCUUUCUGAAGAGCUGACCAUUGCAAGUGUACUAAAAAGGCCAAGAAUCGAUGGCAGUUGGUUUGUUGGAAUGAGAACUCGGCAUCACAAGCUUACCUGUAGAUGUGAAGUUACCGCCAUUCUUGUUCUAUAUGUCUUCCAAUGUGAUAUCUUUAUGGAUACGUUUUGAGUUAAAUUCAUUAAUUUGCACAAAUGACAUGUGGGAAAUUAAUUUAAAGCCUUUUUGGUGAUUAAAUGCUGCUGGUUGCCGCUAAAUGGAUCCAUUCUUGCUCAUGAGCGGAUGCAUGGCUGGUUAUGUUAUAACGAUGCAUGGCUCGUUACGGCACAUUGCUUGCAAAAUCAAAAGUGAAAGUGAAAAUCAUGCAUAAAAUAGAAUCGGAAAUGAAGGUGAAAGCUUUGAGGUGAAUUUAAGCAAGACGUCUUGUAGCUCUAGUGAAUGCUGGCACACUUACUUUGAGCUGCUGAAGUUAAAAAGCCAUUGAGUGGAUAAUGUCGUAUCUUGAUGGUCACUAUGUUGUUGGACUAAAUCAAACUACAAAAGCACCGGUUCCAACAAAGGUAACCAGGCUUAAUCCAUCCUCUUUAUUAGUUGUCGAUGAGUCAUUGAAUCAGACAAACCCCAAAGGUGCAGUUGUAGAUGCUACUUAUAACUAUAAUGCUUCAUCUUUCGUAACAAACUCUAGUACAAAUGAUGAAAACAAAGGAGAUGCAUCAGACACAUCUUUUUGUAAGAAGUUGUUGCAGGAUAUUCGUCCAAAGGAGAACAAGUUGCCGGUAGGACCACGCGUGGUGAGAAAUCUGGAUUUUCCAAGAUGCACUUACUAUGAAAAUUUACCAAUCACAAAGAACUUUAACGCAAUAGGAAGUUGAUAAAAAAUGUUGAAGGCAUGCCAUGCUCUAUUAUCUGAUCAUAGUUUUUGCAGCACUAUCAAGUCAAAAAGGAGUGAGUUCAUAGACAUGAAGAAAAACAACCUGUAAAUAGUUUUAGUUUAUGUGUUGUCAUUUCAUUUUUCAACUUUUGUAGAUAGAUUUUAUCAGAGGUUUUUUAUUAGUCUUAAGUUGAAAACUUAUGUAUGAAUUUUGUUUUAUUAUUGUUAAUAUCAUUUGGUUUUAGGUU